rnacentral:rRNA from 1 species
GACGAACGCUGGCGGCGUGCUUAACACAUGCAAGUCGAACGGAAAGGCCCUGCUUUUGUGGGGUGCUCGAGUGGCGAACGGGUGAGUAACACGUGAGUAACCUGCCCUUGACUUUGGGAUGACUUCAGGAAACUGGGCUAAUACCGGAUAGGAGCUCCUGCUGCAUGGUGGGGGUUGGAAAGUUUCGGCGGUUGGGGAUGGACUCGCGGCUUAUCAGCUUGUUGGUGGGGUAGUGGCUUACCAAGGCUUUGACGGGUAGCCGGCCUGAGAGGGUGACCGGCCACAUUGGGACUGAGAUACGGCCCAGACUCCUACGGGAGGCAGCAGUGGGGAAUAUUGCACAAUGGGCGGAAGCCUGAUGCAGCAACGCCGCGUGCGGGAUGACGGCCUUCGGGUUGUAAACCGCUUUCGCCUGUGACGAAGCGUGAGUGACGGUAAUGGGUAAAGAAGCACCGGCUAACUACGUG